rnacentral:lncRNA from 1 species
UUUUCUUUUAAACGAGGCAAAAGAUUUAUCAUUUUCAUUGAUUAAAAAAAAGAGAAUAGCCCGGUUAAUUAAAGAAAAACCGAGAUUACAAACCCCACAUGGGGCACCCGAACGACAGCCAAACAGUCGACCGACAAGACAACUUCGAUUUUGGCAACAAGCUUCACAUAAAAAAUUGCAAGCCUCACACCAACACAGUCCUGCGGAACAUCCGAAGAGCAUCGCCGCUAAACCCGUCCUCUUGGCACCACAACUAGUAUUGUAGUUGAUUGGAGCGGAAUAAUUUUACAAGAUGGACUCAGGUCCUUUUAUAGGUGAUGCAAAUUGACUAUGGCUG